ACGCCUUAUACAUGCAAGUCGAACGAAGUAGCAAUACUUAGUGGCAGACGGGUGAGUAACAUGUGGGAAUCUUCCCUUUGGUGAGGAAUAACACGAGGAAACUUGUGCUAAUACCUCAUAAGUCUUUACGGAGAAAGCUUUAUGCGCCAAUGGAUGAGCCCGCACUUGAUUAGUUUGUUGGUGAGGUAAUGGCUCACCAAGACUGUGAUCAAUAGCUGAUCUGAGAGGAUGAUCAGCCACAUUGGGACUGAGACACGGCCCAAACUCCUACGGGAGGCAGCAGUAAGGAAUCUUGCACAAUGGAGGAAACUCUGAUGCAGCGAUGCCGCGUGAGUGAAGAAGGCCUUUGGGUUGUAAAGCUCUUUCGUCGGGGAAGAAAAUGACUGUACCCGAAUAAGAAGGUCCGGCUAACUUCGUGCCAGCAGCCGCGGUAAUACGAAGGGACCUAGCGUAGUUCGGAAUUACUGGGCUUAAAGAGUUCGUAGGUGGUUAAAAUAGUUGGUGGUGAAAUCCCAGAGCUUAACUCUGGAACUGCCAUCAAAACUUUUUAGCUAGAGUAUGAUAGAGGAAAGCAGAAUUUCUAGUGUAGAGGUGAAAUUCGUAGAUAUUAGAAAGAAUACCGAUUGCGAAGGCAGCUUUCUGGAUCAUUACUGACACUGAGGAACGAAAGCAUGGGUAGCGAAGAGGAUUAGAUACCCUCGUAGUCCAUGCCGUAAACGAUGUGUGUUAGACGUUGGAAAUUUAUUUUCAGUGUCGCAGCGAAAGCAUUAAACACACCGCCUGGGGAGUACGAC
rnacentral:rRNA from 1 species